rnacentral:rRNA from 1 species
ACGAACGCUGGCGGCAUGCCUAACACAUGCAAGUCGAACGAGACCUUCGGGUCUAGUGGCGCACGGGUGCGUAACGCGUGGGAACCUGCCCUUAGGUUCGGAAUAACUCCCCGAAAGGGGUGCUAAUACCGGAUAAUGUCUUCGGACCAAAGAUUUAUCGCCUUUGGAUGGGCCCGCGUUGGAUUAGCUAGUUGGUAGGGUAAAAGCCUACCAAGGCGACGACCCAUAGCUGGUCUGAGAGGAUGAUCAGCCACACUGGGACUGAGACACGGCCCAGACUCCUACGGGAGGCAGCAGGGGGGAAUAUGGGACAAUGGGCGAAAGCCUGAUCCAGCAAGGCCGCGGGAGUGAUGAAGGCCUAGGGUUGUAAAGCUCUUUUACCCGGGAUGAUAAUGACAGUACCGGGAGAAUAAGCUCCGGCUAACUCCGUG